UACGUAGGGGGCUAGCGUUGUCCGGAAUCAUUGGGCGUAAAGCGCACGUAGGCGGAUUGUUAAGUCAGGGGUGAAAUCCUGGAGCUCAACUCCAGAACUGCCUUUGAUACUGGCGAUCUUGAGUCCGGGAGAGGUGAGUGGAACUGCGAGUGUAGAGGUGAAAUUCGUAGAUAUUCGCAAGAACACCAGUGGCGAAGGCGGCUCACUGGCCCGGUACUGACGCUGAGGUGCGAAAGCGUGGGGAGCAAACAGG
rnacentral:rRNA from 1 species